rnacentral:lncRNA from 1 species
CUCCCUUCCUGCAGGGAUUGCUUCCUGGCCAACAACGUGCUGGGAUUAAGCACUAGCUUUUCCUUCGAGAGCCACUUCUUACCCACAUCUUCCUCGCAGCCUCUUUACAUGUUGUUUCUUAUCUACACGCAACAGGACUUUCAGCUGCUCUGUUCAGGGCUUGGAAGAUAAAAGCCUGGGAGGGUGCAGCUAUUUCCCCCCAGGCCAGCAGCUCCUGCAAUAAACAGGGUAUGAAAUAAGGAGGGUCUGAAUUCCAUCCACGCUGAUGUUGGGCAUUUUCCCGUCAAUAAAACUGUGUCACGUUGGGACUACAGACGCAAAGAACCAAAUUCUGUACUCAUUCCCCUCAGAGGUUGGGAAUCUAAGAGGGAUACAUCCUUCUUUCCAUCUUUUCCCACUCAUUUCUUCUGACCAGUUCCUCACCAGCAAGAUUCUCUUGGAACUCACUUGGAACUCCUCCCAGCUACAUCUGCUUUUCCAGAGUCACAUUUUCUGAGCCAGCUGUGGGGUUUUAAAUUCGUGCAUAACUUCCCUGGUCUAACAUAACUUCCAUCUGAAGAUGGGUUUAUGCUGACGCUACUAUGCUGGAUGUUUCAAAUAUGUCACAGGAUGUUUCAAAAUUCUUUCCUUCCCCUUGCAAACACCCUGUAGUACCACAGACUAAAGCACAGCUCGACGUAUCAGCAGUUUUAAUUACAGCCGAGACACAAUUGCAAUAAGCAGGAGCUCCAGAGAGUAGCUGAAGAAUUACACGGAAGACUAAUGAGCAGGAAGUUUGAAGCCCAUCAAAGCAUGAAUGAAGGUCUGCAACAUACGUGUGGUGCUGCAUAAAGGAGGCUUGGCAGAGCAGGAGACAGGACAUUUAAAAGAUAUACAUCAUGAGUUCAACAUAUGGGACUGCUAAUGACUAGCCUGUGACUGUAUGCUUAGCAUAAAGUAAUGAAUCAAUUAGCACAUGAUAGGAAACCGUAACGAAUAGCAGAACAUAUGAAAGGAUGCAUAUGGGAGUGAUUAGGGGCAGAUGUAACUCAGAGCCUUUGGAGUCAGGAACAGCACUCACAUUUGU